GCUCAGGGUGUCGAGGUUGUCGUGCUGCGUUGCCGAGUUCAUCCGGUGGCGUGUUAACGCCCGCUGCUGGUGCAAUCUCGGUCGUAGUUGGACCGUCAGUCGGGAAGAGUCUGUGGCCUGUUGAUCGGUGAUGGGGAGGUAGGCCUCGUGGUUGUCUUCGGGCUCCCGGGGUCACGUAUAGCCCUUUGCCGUGGUCUCAGUCGUCUUUCAGGUGUGUUGGAUGGCCGUUCGUCCAUGAUUGGUAGGUGCAGUCUCUCCUUGUGGGAGGUCGGGCCU
rnacentral:misc_RNA from 1 species